CCACUUGCCUACAAGGCAAAGGUGAAGUUGUAUCUCCUUAGCCUGGUUUAGAAAACCUUCUUUCUCCCUUCACACCACUUUAUGGCCAUAUGUUUGUCUUUCUACACUCAACAAUACAGCAUUCCACAGAAAAAGCAAGCCCUUUACCUAAUACAUGCUUUUGCUUUCUCUCUUAGGAUGGAUUUCCCAAGAAACAGAGUCUGAGAGGAAGAUUUUCAGGCAGGAAGUUCAUUGGAGAGUUUUGUUGAGGACAGCAGUUGUAAGGGAAUAUAUUAGCUACCUAUUGUGAUGUGAAAAAUUACCUCAAAACUCUGCAGCUUGCAGCAAUAAGCAUUCAUUAUCUCCACCAUUUCUGGGGGUCAGGAAUCCAGGAGCAGCUUAGCUGUCUGGUUCUGGCUCUAGGUUCCUCAUGAGGAUGCAGUCACACUGUCAGUCAAGGGACAAUCCACUCCUGAACUCAGGGCAUGGUGUUGGCAGCACUCAGUUCUUCACCACACUGGCCGCUUAACAGUGUUCACGUGACAUGGCAGCUGGCUCUCCCCAGAAUGAGUGACAAGACAGAGUGAGGGAGGGAGUACACCAAGACCGAAGCCACUAGGAAGUGACAUCUUGCAAUGCCUGCCGUAAUCUAUUCACUAAAAUGAGUCACUAAGUUCAGCCCACACACAAGAGGAGAGAAAUGAAACUGCAUCUCUACUGGGAAGGAGCACAAAAGAAUGUACGGACAGAUCUUAAAGCCACCAGAGAGUAAGGGAAGCAGUGAUGGGCAGAGGGAGAAGUUAAAUACCGAUUCAGUCUUCACGGUGCUCGGCUGACCCCAGGGGAGUCCUGGAGCUUGGAUGGUGCCUUCAGAAAGGUCCCAAAAUGAGGCUGUUGACAAGUGACCAUCUAGCCCAGGAAGUGGAUUGUUUUAAUGCCCUUCAAGGUCCAGCAAAGACAAGGAUGACAACCAUAUUUGCAAGCCAGUCCCCACACUACCAAUGUUCUUUCUACAAGAAGUAGGUAGGAAGUCACUGGAGUCGAGGUGGGUAGCAGGUAGGAUUAAUUCUUGAAUUCAAUGUUCACUCUCUCUUGCCCCUCUGCCAUAUUAGAAUACAGACAUAAAAGGGGAGUGAUUUUGUGACUUCUCCCCACUGCAGUCUAGCACUUAGAACAAGGCCUGACAUUCAGUAUGCCCUCAACAAACAUGUGCUAAUCUCUGAGUAACUUCACUCACUCCUAGCAUUACACAUUCCUGCUGCUAUUCAUCCAGUUUAUGCUAUUCUGCCUUUCUGGAAUAUUCCUUCUUAGCCACUAAGAUGCAGCUAACAGCUAAAUCAAUCUCUCACACACACACGCACACUCACUCUCUCUCCCCUUUCCCAUUUUUCUAGUACUUCUAGUCAUUCUAAGUACUUUCUUCUUUCUUUUGCUAGCCAGCAUUCACUUCCACCCCGCUAUGACAAGCAAAUCCUACAUGAGAUCACUCUCCAGUGUUUUCUCAUAGGAUACUUUAUUCUUACCUUGAUUUCUCUCAACAUCAGACACCAACACGGGACUGGUUACAGAAAAUCUAUGUGAGGUGGGGAUAACUUCAGAAGCACAAGUGAGGGCGAGGGGGAGAGUGAAACAGGAGAGGAAAGCCAAGAAAGAGUGUGUUAGUAAAUGGGUUACUUUGUGAGAAACUGAGGCUUCACACUGCUGGGGACUUUCUGAGAUACUGUGUGGAGCCAACUGGAUGGAGGAUAGGGAGGCUGGAGUGUUAUCCAUCAACUUCUGUCCCCUGUUGUCUGAAAGUUGCCCCUGAAGGCAUUCACCCUCUCACUUUUCAGGAACCCCUGUACAAUGAGGAUGAAGAAAACCCUCAAGCAGGAGAAAAAGAAAAGAAGACAAUCAAAGAGAGAAGUUCUCAGCUUGAUGGGAGAUAUGGGCUGCAGCUGCAGUUAACUCAGUGGAUGUAGAAGAUAUGGAGUGGGGAACAACAGUGUUUGCUACUCUGGUCCUUCAAGUUUUUAUCGAGUGUUUUGAAGUAGGGAUUGUAUAAUGGGUGCCCAUCUGUCUCCACAGUGCCCAGCAGAGUUCUAGGAGGUAGAGACGUCUGUUGUGUUUGCUUUUUCUUCACCUUUUGGUGGUUCUUCACUAAUCUAUGCAUGAAUUCAUUUUGAAACCUAUAUCCCAUUUUCCUUCUGGGAAGUCAUUUUCUCUCCCCCUCUUAGCUCAUGAAUUCCCAGUGAAAUUGAAUCCACUGUGAAUUCCGUGGAAUUGCCUCCAGAGGUGGGCAGGGAAAUCAGGUCCAGUCAGUUAGAGUAUUUUAUUCUCUGACUACAGUAAUCAGUUCAGAAAGAGUAAGUGACGAAAUCAUAGCUAAUGAAAUGCAGGGAGACUUUAUGAAGAUUGCUGGAAAAUUGUCUUCAUUUUUCUCCUAGCAUUAAACCUGGAAGUUAUCUUGAAACACUAUAUUUGAUAGUUGCCCAUCAACAAAGCCAGCACUUAGCAAAUUGACAUAAGAAACAAUAGACAACUAAGUGAAGAGCAUUACUUGACUUGGAUCAAAUGAGUCCUCUGGAACCACACAUUCCUAUUUGGUAUUAGCAUAUUUGACAGGUUUUGUUGUCACAUGCAGUAAAAAAGUUGUGAUAUAUAUAUGCCAUUUUCUCUAGAAAGGACACUGGCUUCACAGAACAGGCACUAACUCAAUUCAACUUGAGUUUUAUUAAGUAGAAGAAAAGGAAAUCUCAUGAACUCCUAGGGACAAGGAAUAAAGUUUGAAAAGACAGCAUGGGUAAGACUCUGGAAAGUGACUCAGGAAACUGUGUAGUUUUACAUGCUUCAUGCUUCUCUAGUGGAUGGUCAUUGAAAUAAUUACUAAAGGAUAAACUCCAGGAAAAAGAGAAGUGGAUCAGAAGAAAGAAAUGAAAUGCAAGAAUAAAUAGGGAGAAAAAAAGUUGCUGAACAUGAAGAUAAAUCUAAGAAAGUGUUACAGAACAUGAGGGGAUAUCUGUGAAAGCAUUAGUUUAUAAAAUGAGAACAACAAUGGCUAAAUUUGAGGGUUAAAAGAGGUUGGAACUAAAUUACGAAGCACAACAUCAUUUAUGUCAUGAGGGUGGGAUCACAAGGAAGCCUUUGCAAGUACUUGCUUGUUCAGGAGAGGGAAGGAGAUAUAGAUCACUUAGGCAUAAGUCUAUUUUCUGGUUAAGAGUCAUCACUAAGGCCGGGCGCAGUGGCUCACGCCUGUAAUCCCAGCACUUUGGGAGGCCGAGGCGGGCGGAUCACGA
rnacentral:lncRNA from 1 species